ACCACCAAGCAAGCAAUCAAUUCGGCAGCAGACACCAGCUGGGUAUCCUCCAAUUUAAUUCUGACACUAUUUGGAGAUAGCAUCAGAUCCCACAGGUUGAGUGCUCAGUCCCCAAGACCGCCCACCCCCUAGACACCAGUGAACUAGUCAAUGGAGCCCAGAGCUGUCUAUCUCUGCAGAAGAGCUGUCUGUGAGGCAGGUGUAUACAGAAGAGAGAGAGAGGAAGGAAGAGAACGAGAGACUGCAGACAAAUAUGAACAGCAAGUGUCUCUCUCCAGCCCUCCCUGGAGCCAGGCUGUGCUUCUCUGCUCCUGACUUACAGUUGCUUCACUGUGCAGUGAAAGUCAGAGCUUGGCUCCCACGCCAUACACAGGAGAGUCCCAUCCCCGCUUCUGGCAUCUUUUCUCACUGUCCUAUUACACAGACCCUCCAUUCCGGCCACACACCGUACCCUGUCCCACCUAAGGACCUUGGCUCAGGCCCUUUCCACCACCUGGAAUGCUCCUGCUACCCCCACAGGGCUGCCCAAAUGCCUUUUCCAUGAAGGACACCCCAACUGGAAGCAAUUUUUCUUUUUCCUGGAAUUCCAUACACUUACCAGUUGUGCAAGCAGCUUUGCUAGACAGUUCCCUAACUUCAAGCCUUGUUCCUCCCGUAGAUGGGUUAGGUCUCUGGAUAUUAGGGUCCCCAGAGUAUUUAUUUAUAGUUCCAGUUCCCAGUAUGGCGCCCUGUACUCUGCAGGCACCUGACCAAUGGCUAUCAACCCAGGCGCACCAACCCUCCAUAUCAGAACGCUUCAUACACAGCCUGCAGGAGGGACUAGCAGGGCAGAGGGACCUGCUUUGCCCAAUAGUGGAAGUCACAGGACAUUUCUCAACAUCAUUCACGAUAAAAACAUCUUUUUUUUUUUUCUGCGACAUAGUCACUCACCCUCCACCCUCUUUCGGUAAAUCCUCCAUAAAACUACAUAAGGAGAAAUAUCCCUUUGUUUUACA